UUAUAUGAUUAAGUAAGCGAUUGGAGCAAUCUGCGAUCUAGCAGGCAAAAUACCGCGCUGAAGCGGGGCACUGAUGUUAUGUGAGCGGCUGGGAUAUGUUGUGCUUUGCACAAUCCAGAACGCCGCUGAGGCGGGCGAAUUCUGACGCUCACUUUUUUAGCAUCACAAUGCGGGCAGUUAGGGCCCUCAGUGGCAGCUUCUGCGUGGGCGCGGCCAGGCAGAAGACACAAAGUUUGAGUCCGUCGGAGAUCCCGAUGGGUCCCACGCAGAUCGGGUAAACAUAAAUGAUAUCUUCAAUCCAUACUCCACCGGAACGCUUAAGGGAUUAGCAAAGCAAAUUCCACAAUCCUCUUUGGCGAUGAAUCAACGGCGAAGACAUAAGCAUUAUGAUGAAGGAGAAAGAUUCUGAUGAAAUGCCACUCGGCGCCGCUUAUAUAGGGCGCUUUCCCGCCACCCUUUUUGUGCGCUCGAGCGCCAUUGGCCAUUGCGAUGCAAUGGCGUUAAACGAAUAAGGCUUCAGUAUUUGAGGAGAAAGGUGUUUCCCCAAUGCGAUCAGCUUACGCUGUAUGCAACGUCGAGAGACCCUCUCGAAAGGGAACUGGUUGUGUCAAAGCAGCUAUACAGUGUCAAACAGGAAAUA